UGCUCUCGGGUGACGAGCGGCGGACGGGUGAGUAAUGUCUGGGAAACUGCCUGAUGGAGGGGGAUAACUACUGGAAACGGUAGCUAAUACCGCAUAACGUCGCAAGACCAAAGAGGGGGACCUUCGGGCCUCUUGCCAUCAGAUGUGCCCAGAUGGGAUUAGCUAGUAGGUGGGGUAAUGGCUCACCUAGGCGACGAUCCCUAGCUGGUCUGAGAGGAUGACCAGCCACACUGGAACUGAGACACGGUCCAGACUCCUACGGGAGGCAGCAGUGGGGAAUAUUGCACAAUGGGCGAAAGCCUGAUGCAGCAACGCCGCGUGAGCGAUGAAGGCCUUCGGGU
rnacentral:rRNA from 1 species